rnacentral:tRNA from 2 species
AGAGACUUAGGAUAACCCAGACCAAAAGCCUUCAAAGCUUUAAGCAGGAGUGAAAACCUCCUAGUCUCUG